CAGCAACUGCCUUUAGAGGAAGGAAGAUUUGUGUCCUCAUAUUCUCUUCUCCCCUCCCUGCUCACUGGCAGUAGAUAGGAUGGACACUGUGGGGGAAGCUACACCCUAAGAAAGUCAGAGCAGCAAGAUGGAAGUAGCCUAAGACCCUGAAAAAUGCACAAAGAAGAAUCACCCGACUGGCUUGGACUUUCAUGUGAAAGGAAUGAACCUCUGUCUUAGUAAAGCCACUGUCUUUACUAAGUUCAGGGUCCUUGUCACGUUCACUGAGGCUGUAACAUAAUUGUUAGAAAGAACAGGAGUGGGAGGGGAGAUGGAGUCGGAGAGUCAGGCAGAGGUUAGAUCACAUCGGGCCUGUAGGCCAAGGCGGAGGAAGAAACAGGCGACACAGGACUCAAGGACAACACCUGCUCCCAGGCAAAAGGAGUUUGUGAAGACAUUGCAUUAAAUAGCAAGAUGGCAGAU
rnacentral:lncRNA from 1 species